GACGAACGCUGGCGGCGUGCUUAACACAUGCAAGUCGAACGGAAAGGCCCUGCUUUUGUGGGGUGCUCGAGUGGCGAACGGGUGAGUAACACGUGAGUAACCUGCCCUUGACUUUGGGAUAACUUCAGGAAACUGGGGCUAAUACCGGAUAGGAGCUCCUGCUGCAUGGUGGGGGUUGGAAAGUUUCGGCGGUUGGGGAUGGACUCGCGGCUUAUCAGCUUGUUGGUGGGGUAGUGGCUUACCAAGGCUUUGACGGGUAGCCGGCCUGAGAGGGUGACCGGCCACAUUGGGCCUGCGAUACGGCCCAGACUCCUACGGGAGCCAGCAGUGGGGAAUAUUGCACAAUGGGCGGAAGCCUGUUGCAGCAACGCCGCGUGCGGGAUGACGGCCUUCGGGUUGUAAACCGCUUUCGCCUGUGACGAAGCGUGAGUGACGGUAAUGGGUAAAGAAGCACCGGCUAACUACGUG
rnacentral:rRNA from 1 species